CACAUUUGGUCUAGUUGUCUCUAUGGGUUAGCGACUUAGCAUACAUGUUGUAAUCAACUUUCACAUUUGCUUCUCUGACAAGUAAGGUCUGUUUUCAUUCAUAGGUAGAAGAUAUCAACAGAGUGGGAAGGUUUGUGCAGAGAUCUUACCUCGAGGUUAUCACAGAUGCGCACAAUAUGACACUGAAUUGGCCAAAAAUACGGAGCUACAAGAUGAACUUUUAAAGGUUAAGACCUCACUGUCUGCUUCAACGAAGAGAUUUGAAGAGUUGCAAAAGGUAAUUUUGGGGCAAAUUUCCAUUGCUGCAGGAUAAUGAGAUGUUGAAGCGGCAGACUGAAUCCAUGACACCGAAGUGCAAUUGCGGUAGAUUAUCUCUAUUUUUCCUUUUCAUUUUUCUUAUUAUUGGAGUGAGAACAGGUAGAAUGAUGAACUGUGUGAUAGUACAUACAACAACUGUAGUAAAAAGAAACUUACUUUUGCAAUUGUUAAUGACAUACAUACUUGCAUGUUCUUUGAAGUGGUCAAUCGUGAGUACCAAUGCAUAUGAUGGGGUUUGGCUCAUUUAUCCGGAGCCCAUGUCAAUUAUGUAUGCUCUUACUGGAUGUGUUCUAAUGCUGGUUUAUUAUAAAUCUUGUAUUUGUAAUGAUGUGUACUGGUUUAUUUUUUUAAUUCCUAAUAAGUUAGUAGUAGCGUGGGGAGGAA